UUACGACCAUAUCACGUUGAGCCACCGGUUCCCGUACGAUAACCAAAGUUAAACAACGUCGAGCCUGGUCAGUACCUAGAAGGAUGAUCGCUUGGGAAUAACAGGUGCUGUAAG